rnacentral:rRNA from 1 species
UACGUAGGGUGCGAGCGUUAAUCGGAAUUACUGGGCUUAAAGCGUGCGCAGGCGGUACGUUAAGUCUGAUGUGAAAGCCCCGGGCUCAACCUGGGAAUGGCAUUGGAAACUGGCUUGCUAGAGUGUGGCAGAGGGGGGUGGAAUUCCGCGUGUAGCAGUGAAAUGCGUAGAGAUGCGGAGGAACACCGAUGGCGAAGGCAGCCCCCUGGGCCGACACUGACGCUCAGGCACGAAAGCGUGGGGAGCAAACAGG